AUGGGAUGGGGUCUGGGCAGCAGAGCUGGAUCCCCCCCACUCUCCCCCCAUGGUGUAGGGCCAAAUCGUGCUGCCACCCCGUCAGACCCUGGGGCAGAUCCAGACCCCAUCACCACCGUAUUGCUGGAGAAAUUGAGGUGUGCAAGGAAAGGCAGGGAGCUGCCCUCGGCUCUUGCCCUGGGGCUGUGCAUCCUGCCUCAUCUGGACAGAGCUGCACCUAUCCCAGGGGGUGCCCCCCCAGCCCAGCUGGACACACAAAUCCCUGCAGGGGUUUUAGCAAGGGUCUCUUCUCUUGCAGGGGUUCCUGGUGCUAUCCCGGGAGGGGGAGUCCCAGGAGGAGGCUUUUUCCCAGGUGCUGGGGUUGGAGGUUUGGGAGCAGGGCUCGGGGCUGGAGGAAAACCUCUCAAACCAGGGGUCGGUGGCCUCGGGGGACUUGGCCCUCUUGGCCUCCAGCCAGGUGAGCAUGGACAAGAACUGUCCCCAGUGCAGUGUCCCCAGAGAACCUCCCGAUGGACUGCGGGUGGCCCAUCCCCACCAGCUGUAGGGCAAUGAGGCGGCUCCUCCACCACUUCCACCCAUGUGGCCAGGCUGGGCAACCCCAUGAAGCAUCAGGGGAGAGGGCGCUGUGUCCCCACGGGGUUGGCAGCAAGGUGGCAGUGCCCCUGCAUGGC
rnacentral:lncRNA from 1 species